rnacentral:rRNA from 1 species
UGCGCAGGCGGUUAUGCAAGACAGAUGUGAAAUCCCCGGGCUCAACCUGGGAACUGCAUUUGUGACUGCAUAGCUAGAGUACGGUAGAGGGGGAUGGAAUUCCGCGUGUAGCAGUGAAAUGCGUAGAUAUGCGGAGGAACACCGAUGGCGAAGGCAAUCCCCUGGACCUGUACUGACGCUCAUGCACGAAAGCGUGGGGAGCAAACAGGAUUAGAUACCCUGGUAGUCCACGCCCUAAACGAUGUCAACUGGUUGUUGGGAGGGUUUCUUCUCAGUAACGUAGCUAACGCGUGAAGUUGACCGCCUGGGGAGUACGGCCGCAAGGUUGAA